rnacentral:misc_RNA from 1 species
CAUGCUUGUGCAUCGAACUGUUGAAUCACGAUCUCAUCAGUUGAAGCCCAUGCGUGUGCGUGUAAUGGGAAAAGGUCGAGUUCCUGUGUUGCAUACCCACAAAAGUGGAAAUCGGUCGGUUAAUUAUUUAUUUUCGGCUCAUGCCCUCUCUAGGGCAUGUGGUGAACAGCAUAGCCCUCUUGUGUUCCAAACAUGUCGGUUUGACUGUUAUUGGCACACUUAAAGGUCGCUUGUUGUCCGGGAUGCGGAAAGCCUUUUGUGGCUGAGGGAUUUGAUCCUUCAAUUGCUCGAAAUGUCCCUUCUGAUAUAGGAACGACGUUCAACACCCAUUCCGUAUCUCUUUGAGAAUGGAGCGGGUGUUGAGGUUGUGAAGGAAUGC